GGGGUUGUAGCUCAGUGGUAGAGCGCUUGCCUUGCAUGUGUGAGGCACUGGGUUCGAUCCUCAGCACCA
rnacentral:tRNA from 1 species